GACAGAGGGUGCAAACGUUGUUCGGAAUUACUGGGCGUAAAGCGUGUGUAGGCGGCCAUGUAAGUCGGGUGUGAAAGCCCCGGGCUCAACCCGGGAAGUGCACUCGAAACUGCGUGGCUUGAGUAUCGGAGAGGUUGGUGGAAUUCUCGGUGUAGAGGUGAAAUUCGUAGAUAUCGAGAGGAACACCGGUGGCGAAGGCGGCCAACUGGACGAAUACUGACGCUGAGGCGCGAAAGCUCGGGGAGCGAACGGG
rnacentral:rRNA from 1 species